UGAAACUGUUGAAAACAAAACUUGCUCAAAAACUGGUUUUAGAUAAUCCAGGUUUUUGUGAAGUUAGCAGAGCUUAAAAACUACAAUUUUUUCCUGCGAUUUUAAAGAGGUUUUAGGCAGCAGCAGUAAGAAAUAAUGAUAAAUGAAAUAAAUAAAUAAAAAUAAUAAUAAGUGGGUCGAAUUCUGUCCAGUUUGAGUCAAGAAACCCUGAUUGUUAGUCCAGUUCUAUGAAAAAUUCAGCUCCUCGGUUUAUCUAAAAUAAUUUAAAAAGCACCAAAUUUGAAGCUUGUUUCAUUUUAUUCCUUUAACUCCUAUUUUAACGGCUACAAACUGUGUUUAUGUGGAGUCAUUUAGUACAAACAUCACCUCAUAAAACCCAAACCGCAGCACGAAUCGGGACAAAAACCCCAAGCAAGGAAAUCUUCAAAUGCAAACAAACAGCCAGGUUGGAGCGUUCAGAGGCUUUUCUGUUUGUUUGCGUUGCUUCAUGAGUGAAUCGUUGGUCACCAGAGACACGUUUUUAACUCUUCUGAUGCCCACAAAGUGUUUUCAGCUCCUCUCUCUUCCAAGUUCGUGACUCUGUGGGCAACAAAUGUGCAUUCAAGUGCUGCUUUUCUUUCUUUAUUUCCCAGAAAACGUCUUUUUUUUUUAGUCCCACUCGUCUUCACAGAGUCUCAAAACACUUUUCCGGAGAGAACUUUGCGGCUCCUCGAUGUUGUAAAAA